rnacentral:rRNA from 1 species
CAGUAGCCGCGGGAAUACGUAGGGUGCAAGCGUUAAUCGGAAUUACUGGGCGUAAAGCGUGCGCAGGCGGUUGUGUAAGACAGGUGUGAAAUCCCCGGGCUUAACCUGGGAAUUGCAUUUGUGACUGCACGACUAGAGUGUGUCAGAGGGGGGUGGAAUUCCACGUGUAGCAGUGAAAUGCGUAGAUAUGUGGAGGAACACCAAUGGCGAAGGCAGCCCCCUGGGAUAACACUGACGCUCAUGCACGAAAGCGAGGGGAGCAAACAGGAUUAGAUACCCCUGUAGUCCCUGUCUCUUAUAC